GCAAACAGAGGCGGAGCUUACCUUUCCUACAGGAAGAUGCAUUCCAGUAGGGCUGCCAUACACCCAGAAUACGGCAGUCUGAAACAUGUGGACAUCGCUGCAGUGUCCAGGAAAAUCUUUUUGGACAUGUGCAGGAGAAGGACCCACUAGAUCACGUCUGCAUAUGCCAGAAGGAUCUGCCCAUCUCUACCUAAAGAACAGCCGCUGCUCACCUGGGGCUCACCACAUCCUGGGGUACCUGGAACCACUCUUGCAACUUGCUCUCUAGCCCGACGCCCACCUUGACCAGGUA